rnacentral:rRNA from 1 species
CCUACGAGUGGCAGCAGUGAGGCAUAUUGGUCAAUGGACGAGAGUCUGAACCAGCCAAGUAGCGUGAAGGAUGACUGCCCUAUGGGUUGUACACUUCUUUUAUAUGGGAAUAAAAUGUUCCACGUGUGGGAUUUUGUAUGUACCAUCUGAAUAAGGAUCGGCUAACUCCGUGCCAGCAGCCGCGGUAAUACGGAGGAUCCGAGCGUUAUCCGGCUUUAUUGGGUUUAAAGGGAGCGUAGGUGGAUUGUUAAGUCAGGUGUGAAAGUUUGCGUCUCAACCGUAAAAUUGCAGUUGAAACUGGCAGUCUUGAGUACAGUAGAGGUGGGCGGAAUUCGUGGUGUAGCGGUGAAAUGCUUAGAUAUCACGAAGAACUCCGAUUGCGAAGGCAGUUCACUGGACUGCAACUGACACUGAGGCUCGAAAGUGUGGGUAUCAAACAGGAUUAGAUACCCUUGUAGUC